rnacentral:rRNA from 1 species
GCAACAGCUCAAAUUUGAAAUCUGGCCCCCUCGGGGCCCGAGUUGUAAUUUGUAGAGGAUGUUUCGGGUGUGGCUCCGGUCUAAGUUCCUUGGAACAGGACGUCAUAGAGGGUGAGAAUCCCGUAUGUGACUGGCAGCCUACGCCCAUGUGAAACUCCUUCGACGAGUCGAGUUGUUUGGGAAUGCAGCUCAAAAUGGGUGGUAAAUUUCAUCUAAAGCUAAAUAUUGGCCAGAGACCGAUAGCGCACAAGUAGAGUGAUCGAAAGAUGAAAAGCACUUUGGAAAGAGAGUUAAACAGUACGUGAAAUUGUUGAAAGGGAAGCGCUUGCAACCAGACUUGCGUGCGGCCGAUCAUCCGGUGUUCUCACCGGUGCACUCGGUCGUGCUCAGGCCAGCAUCGGUUUCGGCGGCUGGAUAAAGGCCAUGGGAAUGUAGCUCCUCUCGGGGAGUGUUAUAGCCCGUGGUGCAAUGCAGCCCGCUGGGACCGAGGACCGCGCUUCGGCUAGGAUGCUGGCGUAAUGGUUGUAAGCGACCCGUCUUGAAACACGGACCAAGGAGUCUAACAUCUAUGCGAGUGUUUGGGUGUCAAACCCAUACGCGGAAUGAAAGUGAACGGAGGUGAGAACCCUUAAGGGUGCAUCAUCGACCGAUCCUGAUGUCUUCGGAUGGAUUUGAGUAAGAGCAUAGCUGUUGGGACCCGAAAGAUGGUGAACUAUGCCUGAAUAGGGUGAAGCCAGAGGAAACUCUGGUGGAGGCUCGCAGCGGUUCUGACGUGCAAAUCGAU